UUGAAGAUGUACAGAGACAAAUGGCAGGUCUCAGUUUCCAGGAUGGUAAGAACACUGGUGCUUACAACUACCCUUCUGUGAGUCAACCCCAUCAAACUCAGAGAGCCACUUCUCAGCAGCAAACAGAACCUGUGAACAUGACUCAUCCUUCUCGCCCCCAAGCACCUUAUUACCAGCCGCCACCUCCUGAGCAGCCGACAAUGCCAGGAUAUGCUCACUCCCUCCCUCCUUAUGGCUCUACACAGCAGCCACCACCUCCUUACCAUGUUGCAGGUGGCCCAUACCAUCCCCAACAGGCCCAACAGCCACCACCUAGCCAUGAGUAUGGCCAACCUGCUUAUCCAGGGUGGCGAGGUCCAUACUAUAAUAAUGCUCAUGCACAGCAACCUGGAUCUCUUCCUCGUCCUCCUUACACCAUUCCAGCCCCUUAUCCUCCUCACCACCAAAGCGGCUACUACAAG
rnacentral:lncRNA from 1 species